rnacentral:rRNA from 1 species
UGGGGAAUUUUGGACAAUGGGCGAAAGCCUGAUCCAGCAAUGCCGCGUGUGUGAAGAAGGCCUUCGGGUUGUAAAGCACUUUUGUCCGGAAAGAAAUCCUUGGCUCUAAUACAGUCGGGGGAUGACGGUACCGGAAGAAUAAGCACCGGCUAACUACGUGCCAGCAGCCGCGGUAAUACGUAGGGUGCAAGCGUUAAUCGGAAUUACUGGGCGUAAAGCGUGCGCAGGCGGUUUGCUAAGACCGAUGUGAAAUCCCCGGGCUCAACCUGGGAACUGCAUUGGUGACUGGCAGGCUAGAGUAUGGCAGAGGGGGGUAGAAUUCCACGUGUAGCAGUGAAAUGCGUAGAGAUGUGGAGGAAUACCGAUGGCGAAGGCAGCCCCCUGGGCCAAUACUGACGCUCAUGCACGAAAGCGUGGGGAGCAAACAGGAUUAGAUACCCUGGUAGUCCACGCCCUAAAACGAUGUCAACUAGUUGUUGGGGACUUCAUUUUCCUUAGUAACGUAGCUAACGCGUGAAGUUGACCGCCUGGGGAGUACGGUCGCAAGAUUAAAACUCAAAGGAAUUGACGGGGU